CCCGCACAAGCGGUGGAGCAUGUGGUUUAAUUCGAAGCAACGCGAAGAACCUUACCAGGUCUUGACAUCCCCUGACAACCCGAGAGAUCGGGCGUUCCCCUUCGGGGGGACAGGGUGACAGGUGGUGCAUGGUUGUCGUCAGCUCGUGUCGUGAGAUGUUGGGUUAAGUCCCGCAACGAGCGCAACCCUCGACCUUAGUUGCCAGCAUUCAGUUGGGCACUCUAAGGUGACUGCCGGCUAAAAGUCGGAGGAAGUGGGGAUGACGUCAAAUCAUCAUGCCCCUUAUGACCUGGGCUACACACGUGCUACAAUGGGCGGUACAAAGGUUCGCGAACCCGCGAGGGGGAGCCAAUCCCAAAAAGCCGCUCUCAGUUCGGAUUGCAGGCUGCAACUCGCCUGCAUGAAGCCGGAAUCGCUAGUAAUCGCGGAUCAGCAUGCCGCGGUCGAAUACGUUCCCGGGCCUU
rnacentral:rRNA from 1 species